rnacentral:rRNA from 1 species
AUUGAACGCUGGCGGCAGGCCUAACACAUGCAAGUCGAGCGAGCGGCGGACGGGUGCGUAAUGUCUGGGGCUCUGCCCGAUAGAGGGGGAUCACUACUGGAAACGGUGGCUAAUACCGCAUACUAUCGGCUGAACCCAUAUGGUAUUAGCUAGUAGGUGGGGUAAAGGCGCACCUAGGCGACUAUCUCUAUCUGGUCUGAGAGGAUGAUCAGCCACACUGGGACUGAGACACGGACCAGACGCCUAAGGGAGGCAGCAGUGGGGAAUAUUGCACAAUGGGCGCAAGCCUGAUGCAGCCAUGCCGCGUGUAUGAAGAAGGCCUUAGGGUGGUAAAGUACUUUCAGCGGGGAGGCGUUACCCGCAGAAGAAGCACCGGCUAACUCCGUGCCAGCAGCCGCGGUAAUAC